rnacentral:snoRNA from 1 species
AUCCUUUUCCAGUUCAUGGGCAUGAUAAUUGGGUGUUUACACAUUUGUUUGUCAUGUGCCUCCCUUAAACCUUGUUAUGCGCUUGGCACAUUACCCAUCUGAUG